rnacentral:lncRNA from 1 species
GAAGAAUCUCCCAGAAAGUAUCACAAAAUAGCUAAAUGGAGGGCAGAUAUUUCAUGGAAAUCCCUAAAAAAGAUUUUAAAUAUAUUUUGUAUAAAAAUUUAAAGUUGUUGAUAUACAAAAGAGGAGAAAGAGCUGAUGGAGAUACCCAAGAUUGUUAGGCAGUAAGUGAUUCUGGGAAAGGUAGUGAUAAAGGCAACAGCAGAGACAGCUGUGGUUACACAGCUGUGUGAAUUUCAACAAGCAGUGUAACCUCUUUGACAUUUCUCAACAGUAAAUUCAAGACAAUCGGACAAUCAUUAAGAAGGCUAAAUUAGUUCAAAUAAGAAGCAGCACCUGCCUUAUAGUAAAUGCUCUCUAAGUGUUGGCAAUUAAUAUGACCCAAAUCUCUUUUUCUUUGGAAAACCAAGCUCUUGGGAAAAAAAAAAAAAUCAAAACACAGAUAGGGAUUCUAUGUUCAAAAAUCCACACUUGUAGAUGAGCCUUUACUUAACUUUCAGACCAUUUGUUCUGCUAUGAGUUAAAACAUUCAUUUCGCUGCUCCUUUAAAUUCUUCGUUCUGUCUGUAGUGUUGUGCCUCUCUUCUCCCAAGGCACCGGGGAACACUGUGGAAUUACAAGGAUAACAAACUUGGUGUCUAACUCUAAAGUUAAUUGCAUCACAGGAACAGAUGUAAGAUUUCAAAUGUUACAAGAUCUACAAAAGAGUCAGAUGAUGGCAGGAUUAUAUGUUCUUGAGGUUUAAAAUAGUGAUAACCCAGACUUAGGUUGAAACAAACAGCAACCCCUGUAGCUUCUGUAGAGGAAGUGAGGCCUGCUUUGAUGGGAAUUCUCAUUUGGACAUGCAGGAAACAUGAUGAGUAUUUCUCCUGGGCCUCUACCUGUAAUAGUAGCAACCCUCAGUGGAAAAAAAGGACACUUUUGUGGAAGGGGUAACUUUUCUUCCUUUUUGCUUCUUUCCUCAGGGACAUUCCACUUUCCCAGGCUUUUGUAUGACCUGGUAUGGUUUUUGUGAUUAUGACAGGAUUUUCUGUUCUUAUGCACUGUGUGUAAGUUCCCUGUAAGUCUGAACCAAGCCUAUAAUCUUUCAGUUUUCUGUAAAUCUUGACGCAGGCCCCUCCAAGGCUUUGUGUUUCCAAGUAUUGGAAUUGUGAUUUGAUUGGGAAGAUGUAUGAAUCAGGGCACAUGGCUGCAAGUGACAAAAAGAUCUUCUCAAAACAACUUUAUCAAAAAGAAAUACUUGUUUGCCUACCUACCUGGAAAGUCUGGAAUACAGCUGACUUCAGAUAUAGUGGAGUACAAUAGCUUAAAUGAGAAUUAGAGAUGUCUCUCUGCUUUUCAUCUCUGCUUAUUUCUGUUUGUGUUAGCACAUUGGGCCUCUUUUUCUGGUGAUACAGACAGGCUUCUUCCAUACGACUUGGGAAGAUGGCUAUUAAGCAGCUUAAAUUUAAAUCUUCCUAGAAUUGUGACUCCAAAGGCAAAGAAGGAAGUGCUCCUAAUUUGAACUAAUCUAAUAGUCACAUGGAGGAUUCUGACUGGCCCAUGUGGGGCCUUGUGCUCAUGUUCUAAGGAAUCAUUGUUGCUUGAAGCAUGGACAACUCUGGCCUGACAUGGUCCCUGGCUCGUACCUGUGACAGGACACUGAGGAUGCUGUGGUACCUGGAGUGAUGCCAGACUGCAGAGGCCACCUGGUGACAUGAGGAGAGAUUCAACUUAACAUGACCUCCUGCUGGGACUCUACAGGAACUCAACUGCAGACUAGGAGGCAAAGGAGCCGACGGAUGUAUUCCACACUGAACAGCAUCCUGGGAUCCAGAGGGGUAAACAAGACGUCUGGUACCAUCACUCCUGGCCCCUCAGCAUCUACUUUUCGUUGCAGGAAAAGUUUGUGUCUCCAUCACAGGGGACACAUGAAGUUCCAUCAGCUACCAAAUCAUAACAGGGUAACAUCAGUUGAGUAGCAGCUGUGCCUGAAAUGAAAACAUUAAUGAUCACUGAGUUCUCCACGUAAGGUAGCAGAGGAAAAAAGGAAAAACAAAUAACACCAACAGUAGCUGAUACUAUCCCCAAAUCUGUAGCUGGACACAGAGCAUAAUUUGGUAAGCAGAAUUCCUUUUUCUACCAUACAUCCUAUCUCUAUGUUCUCCUUUCCCUUUGCCAGCACUAUGGUUGGACAGGGAUUCUCUCCUGGUAGGAUAAUCUGAACUUUCAUUUCUCUAAGUCCUACAAUAAAUAAGCAAAUUGAUUCCAGCAUCUUCUUUUGAGCAUCUGUUUCCUGAGGUCAUUUUUGUACUAUUAAUAAAUGUAGCAGGAAAUGUAUGGCAACUCAAAUGAAGAUAAUUCAAGGAGAGGUUAAUAAAAGGACUAUGCACAAAGGUAUUGUACAGGGUAUAAGGAAGUCCUAAGCUAUGAUUUUGGAGUUCCCCAGGCUACUUACAGGGAAACUCCUUGGCCUGAAAGAAAAAGACU